rnacentral:misc_RNA from 1 species
UCCUGGUUAACCCAGGCAGUCUCGUUAGAGUUCCCACCAUUACGUGCUGGCAACUAACGAUAAGGGUUGCGCUCGUUGCUGGACUUAACCAAACACCUCACGGCACGAGCUGACGACAGCCAUGCAGCACCUAUAUAGAGACCCUUUCGAGAAACACCAUCUCUGAUGUCGUCCUCUACAUUUCGAGCCCAGGUAAGGUUCUUCGCGUUGCAUCGAAUUAAACCACAUGCUCCACUGCUUGUGCGGGCCCCCGUCAAUUCUUUUGAGUUUCACCCUUGCGAGCGUACUCCCCAGGCGGUAUACUUGAUGCGUUAGCUUCGGUACAGGAGGGGUUGAGCCCUUCUACACCUAGUAUACAUCGUUUAAGGCAUGGACUAC